GCGGAAGUAGCUCACCUGGUAGAGCGACAGCUUCCCAAGCUGUAGGUAGCCGGUUCGAGUCCGGUCUUCCGCUCAA
rnacentral:tRNA from 1 species